AAGAUAUUAGUUAAAUAAUAACCUUAGCUUGUCAGACUAAAAUUACAUCAGUAUAUCUUA
rnacentral:tRNA from 1 species